CAGGUCCAGCUGCAGCAGUCUGGGGCUGAACUGGCAAGACCUGGUGCCUCAGUGAAGAUGUCCUGCAAGGCUUCUGGCUACACCUUUACUAGCUACACGAUGCACUGGGUAAAACAGAGGCCUGGACAGGGUCUGGAAUGGAUUGGAUACAUUAAUCCUAGCAGUGGUUAUACUAAGUACAAUCAGAAGUUCAAGGACAAGGCCACAUUGACUGCAGACAAAUCCUCCAGCACAGCCUACAUGCAACUGAGCAGCCUGACAUCUGAGGACUCUGCAGUCUAUUACUGUGCAAGA